CCCGCAACGAGCGCAACCCUUAUCCUUUGUUGCCAGCGGUUCGGCCGGGAACUCAAAGGAGACUGCCAGUGAUAAACUGGAGGAAGGUGGGGAUGACGUCAAGUCAUCAUGGCCCUUACGACCAGGGCUACACACGUGCUACAAUGGCGCAUACAAAGAGAAGCAAUCUCGCGAGAGCUAGCGGACCUCAUAAAGUGCGUCGUAGUCCGGAUUGGAGUCUGCAACUCGACUCCAUGAAGUCGGAAUCGCUAGUAAUCGUGAAUCAGAAUGUCACGGUGAAUACGUU
rnacentral:rRNA from 1 species